rnacentral:rRNA from 1 species
AGAGUUUGAUCCUGGCUCAGAACGAACGCUGGCGGCAGGCUUAACACAUGCAAGUCGAGCGCUCAGCAAUGAGAGCGGCGCACGGGUGAGUAACACGUGGGAACGUGCCCUUUGGUUCGGAAUAACUCAGGGAAACUUGAGCUAAUACCGGAUAAGCCCUUACGGGGAAAGAUUUAUCGCCAUUGGAGCGGCCCGCGUCCGAUUAGCUAGUUGGUGAGGUAAAGGCUCACCAAGGCAACGAUCGGUAGCUGGUCUGAGAGGACGACCAGCCACACUGGGACUGAGACACGGCCCAGACUCCUACGGGAGGCAGCAGUGGGGAAUCUUGGACAAUGGGGGAAACCCUGAUCCAGCCAUGCCGCGUGAGUGAUGAAGGCCCUAGGGUUGUAAAACUCUUUCGGCGGGGACGAUAAUGACGGUACCCGCAGAAGAAGCUCCGGCUAACUUCGUGCCAGCAGCCGCGGUAAUACGAAGGGGGCUAGCGUUGUUCGGAAUUACUGGGCGUAAAGCGCGCGCAGGCGGUUCUUCAAGUCAGAGGUGAAAGCCCAGAGCUCAACUCUGGAAUGGCCUUUGAGACUAGAGAACUUGGGUACGGGAGAGGUGAGUGGAAUUCCGAGUGUAGAGGUGAAAUUCGUAGAUAUUCGGAAGAACACCAGUGGCGAAGGCGGCUCACUGGCCCGUUACCGACGCUCAGGCGCGACAGCGUGGGGAGCAAACAGGAUUAGAUACCCCCGUAGUCC